rnacentral:rRNA from 1 species
ACCGUGCAAAGGUAGCGCAAUCACUUGUUCUUUAAAUAAGGACCUGUAUGAAAGGCAAAACGAGGGCUUUACUGUCUCCCCCCUCAAGUCAGUGAAAUUGAUCUGCCCGUGCAGAAGCGGACAUAAAAAUACAAGACGAGAAGACCCUUUGGAGCUUUAGACACAAGUCAUCUAUGUUAAUAAUGCUGUCCACCAGCCAAAACUAAAUAGAACUGACCCACGUCUUCGGUUGGGGCGACCGCGGGGUAAAACAAAACCCCCACGUGGAAAUGAGGCAAAGUCCUUACAACCAAGAGGCACCCCUCUAAGUCACAGAACUUCUGACCAGCAGAUCCGGCUACCCGCCGAUCAACGGACCAAGUUACCCAAGGGAUAACAGCGCAAUCCUCUUUAAGAGUCCCCAUCGACAAGAGGGUUUACGACCUCGAUGUUGGAUCAGGACAUCCUAAUGG